CUUACACAUGCAAGUCAACUUGAAUUUGGUUUUUUUAACUUAGAUUUGGGUGGCGGACGGGUGAGUAACGCGUAAAGAACUUGCCUCACAGCUAGGGACAACAUUUGGAAACGAAUGCUAAUACCUGAUAUUAUGAUUUUAAGGCAUCUUAGAAUUAUGAAAGCUAUACGCGCUGUGAGAGAGCUUUGCGUCCCAUUAGCUAGUUGGAGAGGUAACGGCUCACCAAGGCGAUGAUGGGUAGCCGGCCUGAGAGGGUGAAGGGCCACAAGGGGACUGAGACACGGCCCUUACUCCUACGGGAGGCAGCAGUGGGGAAUAUUGGACAAUGGACCAAGAGUCUGAUCCAGCAAUUCUGUGUGCACGAUGACGUUUUUCGGAAUGUAAAGUGCUUUCAGUUGGGAAGAAAAAAAUGACGGUACCAACAGAAGAAGUGACGGCUAAAUACGUGCCAGCAGCCGCGGUAAUACGUAUGUCACGAGCGUUAUCCGGAUUUAUUGGGCGUAAAGCGCGUCUAGGUGGUUAUGUAAGUCUGAUGUGAAAAUGCAGGGCUCAACUCUGUAUUGCGUUGGAAACUGUGUAACUAGAGUACUGGAGAGGUAAGCGGAACUACAAGUGUAGAGGUGAAAUUCGUAGAUAUUUGUAGGAAUGCCGAUGGGGAAGCCAGCUUACUGGACAGAUACUGACGCUGAAGCGCGAAAGCGUGGGUAGCAAACAGGAUUAGAUACCCUGGUAGUCCACGCCGUAAACGAUGAUUACUAGGUGUUGGGGGUCGAACCUCAGCGCCCAAGCAAACGCGAUAAGUAAUCCGCCUGGGGAGUACGUACGCAAGUAUGAAACUCAAAGGAAUUGACGGGGGCCCGCACAAGCGGUGGAGCAUGUGGUUUAAUUCGACGCACCGCGAGGAACCUUACCAGCGUUUGACAUCUUAGAAAGAGACAGAGAUGUUUC
rnacentral:rRNA from 1 species